AAGUCGUAACAAGGUUUCCGUAGGUGAACCUGCGGAAGGAUCAUUAACACGUUCCACGUAUAAACCAUCUGUGCUUUUUGUUUGAAGUUGGUGCUUGGGCUCUGGAGUGUGGAAGGGGCUUCGGCUCUGAAACCUUCUUAGUUCAGGUCCACUAUUUUUUCUUUUUUUUAACCCAUUGUUUUUCACAUUAAACUAAUUUGAUUUUUGCGAAAGCGAAAAUUUCAUUACAAAAUGUUGAACAACUCUUAGCAACGGAUAUCUUGGUUCUC
rnacentral:misc_RNA from 1 species